rnacentral:rRNA from 1 species
GACGAACGCUGGCGGCGUGCCUAAUACAUGCAAGUAGAACGCUGAAGGAGGAGCUUGCUUCUCUGGAUGAGUUGCGAACGGGUGAGUAACGCGUAGGUAACCUGCCUGGUAGCGGGGGAUAACUAUUGGAAACGAUAGCUAAUACCGCAUAAUAGUAGAUGUUGCAUGACAUUUGCUUAAAAGGUGCAAUUGCAUCACUACCAGAUGGACCUGCGUUGUAUUAGCUAGUUGGUGAGGUAACGGCUCACCAAGGCGACGAUUCAUAGCCGACCUGAGAGGGUGAUCGGCCACACUGGGACUGAGACACGGCCCAGACUCCUACGGGAGGCAGCAGUAGGGAAUCUUCGGCAAUGGACGGAAGUCUGACCGAGCAACGCCGCGUGAGUGAAGAAGGUUUUCGGAUCGUAAAGCUCUGUUGUAAGAGAAGAACGAGUGUGAGAGUGGAAAGUUCACACUGUGACGGUAUCUUACCAGAAAGGGACGGCUAACUACGUG